AUGAAGGAAAGUAAAACCAAAAUAUAAUGUUAUCCAAUCUCAAGUUAUUAUAUUCCUCAUCCAAAAAGACACCUUGUAAAUCCAUAUAUAUAACAUGGCAUAUAACGCCCUAAACCUCUCUACAACAUCCCCACCAUAUUUUGUAGCUUAUAAAGGCUCAAAAGGAAGUUUGUGCAGAAGAAGAGAAAUUGAUCAAUGGAGGCAAACAAAAGAAAACUUCGAGGCUUCAUGAAAGGGAAAUUGAUGCCUUUCUACAAGCAAUACAAUGGAAGCAAAACAAAGCAAACUGGAUAACCCCAGUCGGGACACGACUGCCACUCGUGGCUCGUUAAGUCAGUCUGAUCAUUCAUACGGAAUUGUAGCUGAAGAAGGUGUUGAUGUAAAGGCAGCAAAUUAUAUUUCCUCCACGUUAGCACGAUUCAAAAGCUUGAAUGAGUUACCUCAUCCGAUAGAAAUGUCGUCGAUUCCAUUGCCCCACCAAUAGAUUUGAGGACCUUGUUUUAUUUAUGUUGGGGUUUACUACUUGAUUAUUAUUCUAAGUGGACUUAAGCAUUACUCGUGUGGUUGGACAUAGAGUUUCUCUUACGUAUAUAGUAGGUCUGAAUCUCUCAUCUUUUAUAUAUUUAUAAUGAAAAAAACUUGGGUGCAUCUUCUCAUA